UUGAUUAUGGGAAACGGAAGCACAGAGUCACAACUGUUAAAUAUUAACUCGCAGGUGAAACGUACAGUCGCAAUUGUGUGAAAAUAACGAGAUUUUUAGAGCUGCUAUAACAUAAAACGGGAACCAACUUGAUUCUUGGAUGUUCCACAACAUUCAACAUAUUAAUAAAUGAGUAAAAAUCACAUAUUCUUUAAUGAAUUAAUAUCCCACUUCAUCUCAGGCCACAUCACACCACCCCACCAUUGAAUACUUUCCUAUAACAUGCUCCCAAAGUGCUUUAUUCCUUAAACAAAACCAUAUGUCCUUCUUCUAAUGAACUCACUCAAACAUUUUAAAAAGAAGUCAAACAUCAGAUAUCCACGAAGACUGUGGAAGCAAAUUGUAGUAGUAUCUGUGGUACCUGCUCCUCUUUCAAUGUUCAUAAGGUGUAGUCUGCUCUAGUUUUAGCUGUUCAUGUAUUGUUCUUGUUUAUUGAUAUGAUGUUUGGUUAUGCUAACUGUACCCCCCCCCCCCUCUAGUUGACUUAAUUUAACCAAUGUUACUUCAUUAAUUUUGUGACUUACAUACUGAUAUCUUUCUAGUUCUAGGUUCAAGUUUGCAGUAACUGUCUAAAAUAUGAUUUAGUAUAACCUAAUUAUGACAUGAAAUCCAUGUAAUUGCUUCAGAAUUGAAGUAUAAACACUGAAAUGCUUAUUUUACCAGCCUAAUGGCUUCACCUAACUGCAAAAUCUAUCACUGGCAAACAUGGCUGCGCUUCCACAGCACAGAACAGUGUAAACUUUAAAAAAAAAUUUUUUGUGACUAACCUCAUUAACACACCAUUCAUUUGAAAUUGAAGGUAACAUUUUAUUUAAAAAAAUAAUAAUAAUGUAACAUUACAGUUUCUGCAUAAACCGUGAUCAAAGUUGAACUUCAAACUUCUGCAGUGUUCAGAAAUAACUAGCAGUUAAGCCUUACGUACCAGAUGAGGUAGACGCUUCCCCUCUUCAGGAAAAUAAUUAAGCAGAAAUAUUUAACAUUAGCAAUGGAGUGUGGUUAAUUUUCUUAGUUAAAGCAGUUUUGUAUAUGAAAGUUCUACAAAAAUAAAGACUUUGUUAUUUAAAAAAGUAGUAUAUAUAUAUAUAUAUAUAUAUAUAUAUAUAUAUAUAUAUAUAAAAUACAUAUUUAAAUGGAUAUAAAAAAAAAGUUUUCAAUUUAAACAAAAGGGAUGUGGCUGUACACUACUAGUCAAACGUUUUGGAAAAACUAGGGCUUCUUAUGAUUACAUUACAUCCAUAUCACAGCACUGUUGAACUCUUGAUUCUGACUGGGUCAAGUUCUCCGACACAGGAAUGUCGGAAAAAUGAAGGACAUUGUACUUUGUCAGUAACAUGACACGUUUCAUUGUCUUAUUAACUUCAAGAGAGAGGACAAAAAGAGAUCCUGGUGAGAGAACUGGUUAUAGCUGUUACAAUUUAAACGAUACCAGGAACAAGCUAGUUGCAUGGAUGUUUCACCCCAUUAAAUGCAACUAUAAAUGGAUAAAAAUGAUGUGGAAAUUCACUAACAAAAAUAUACAUGAUUUGGAUUACAAAAAUAUGCAUUUUCGAAACUUUGACGGUUAAAGUAAAUGGUUCUGUUACGAUAGCCGUGAAAACCGUGCUCCAUAGUUAGGGAUAAAAACAACUUACAUUUUGUAAUAAGCGAAAAACCCCAAAACAAAACAAAACAAGCACCCUAACAUUUUGAAGUGAAAUAAAUAAAUAAAUAAAUAAAUCAAUCACAGAUGGUCUCUCUUUCUCUUCUUUUUGAGUUUUGCACUGUCGGUCCAUGAACACCAAUUUGACUUGCCAGAGACAGCGACUUUUUCAGCUCCGAGUGUGGCAUCUAGAUCAUUAUCUGGGUCUCUUACUUGCUUCUUUUUCUUAAUAUGUACUAAUAAUGCACCCCCUGAGGAUGAAAUACUGUCCUUUUUAGCAUGGCAUGUGUCUAAAGCAUCUCUUGAUUCUUCUGCAGCAAAUAGCUUAGGUACAACAUCUAAAAUCUGAUUCCCACCUCUAUCAACUGUGUCCUUUCUAUUCUUUUUCUUCUUCUCCUUCUCAAUUAUUGCUUCUGAAGGUUCUGAUGGAGAACCACUCUCCUGCCACAAUUCAUGUUCAACAAUCUCAGGAUACACUUCUAUGUCUGUUUCUACCCAUUGCUGCUUCUUCUUCUUCUUCUUCUUUUUCCUUCCAUUAGGCUGUAUGGUAUCCUCUGACUGCAGUACUUGUUGGCUACUUUCAGAACGGUCAUCUUUGGUCCUCUCACAUUUGUUUGUCUCAUUGGUGUCAUUUUGUCCACUACUUGAAGCUUCUUUCACUACUCUUGUCUGUUUAGUAUUUUGCCAAUGGGAGUCAUCCAGAUGCAACAAGCCGUGAGAAACCGACCACGAUCCAUCAUUUUCCAACUCUUUCCUUUUCCUCUUCUUUUUCUUCUUCUUCACUGGUUCUGAUCCACCAACACCUUCCUCCUCACCAAUCCCUCCAGUCUCACUUCUGGUGCUUGGGGUAUUGGAUGUUGUCAUCUCUAUGAGAUCAAGUCUGAGAGACACGGAUGCAUUUUUAGACGUCUCCUCUUCUUGAUGCGUUUUAAUUCUGCCCUUUUUCUUCUUUGGCUUUCUCACCAGAACCACCUCAGCUGCUUGCUGCUCAGAAUCUUGAGUAUUUGGAGCCUCCACUUGUUCUGUCGUCUCUACCAACAAUGCCUCAACGUCCAUAUUUUCUUCCCUGACCACCUUUUGCCGUUUCCUUUUUUUCCUCUUCUUCCUUUGAGUUAUAGAGUGAUCUGUCAAAUCUAUGCUAUUCACUGGUUGGAUUUCUAUGCCUGCUGGUAUUUCGGGGAUUUUCUCCAACGGUUCUCCAAUAUUCUUACUGGCCGUAGCCAUCUCUCCUACUUGUCCUUCUCCAACAUCAUCUAUAAACAUUUUCUUCUUUUUCUUGACAGUUUUGAUACCAUGGCUUGAAUAAGAUUCUUCACUACACUGCCAAGCCACGAUCUCAGUUAUCACAGGACUUGAAUCCUGUUUCGUCUUCGCCCUUUUCUUUUUCUUUUUCCUUUGUGGUUCAAGACAAUCAGACUGAACAAAAUUAGAAAGAUCAGUUCUGGUCAGCUGCUCAGUUUCCUCAGCUAUAGACACCAAAGAAGCUGAACCUUGACAGGGGAUCUGGAUAGCCUCCUCUACACCAAUCCAUUCAUCUUCCUGAGGCACUGGUUGACCAUGUUUGUCUUUUUUUCUCUUUUUCUUUGGUUUAAUUCCAUUCACUGAAGCACAAACCACUGAAGAGUCCUGAACUGAUAGACCAGAGUCUGCAGCAACACUGAUGUCUGGCAAGGUGUCAACUGGUUCCUCCAACAACCGAUAAUUUUUGUCCUUUUUACUCUUUGGUUUACUUCCACUAACUGAAGCACAAACCACUGAAGAGUCCUGAACUGACAGACUCGAGUCUGCAGCAACACUGAUGUCUGGCAAGGUGUCAACUGGUUCCUCCAACAACCGAUAAUUUUUGUCCUUUUUUCUCUUUGGUUUACUUCCACUAAGUGAAGCACAAACCACUGAAGAGUCCUGAACUGACAGACUCGAGUCUGCAGCAACACUGAUGUCUGGCAAGGUGUCAACUGGUUCCUCCAACAACCGAUCAUUUUUGUCCUUUUUUCUCUUUGGUUUACUUCCACUAACUGAAGCACAAACCACUGAAGAGUCCUGAACUGAUAGACCAGAGUCUGCAGCAACACUGAUGUCUGGCAAGGUGUCAACUGGUUCCUCCAACAACCGAUAAUUUUUGUCCUUUUUUCUCUUUUUCUUUUCUUUACUUCCACUAACUGAAGCACAAACCACUGAAGAGUCCUGAACUGAUAGACCAGAGUCUGCAGCAACACUGAUGUCUGGCAAGGUGUCAACUGGUUCCUCCAACAACCAAUCAUUUGUGCCCUUUUUUCUCUUUGGUUUACUUUCACUAACUGAAGCACAAACCACUGAAGAGUCCUGAACUAAUAGACCUGAGUCUGCAGCAAUACUGAUGUCUGGCAAGGUAUAAACUGUUUCCUCCAACAACCGAUCAUUUUUGACCUUUCUUCUUUUUUUACGCUUGACGUCAUCAAAGUGAAGUGCAGAAUAUUCAUUCUGACCCAAAUCAGCUUGUCUUGGUGCCAGGUUAUCUGAGAUCUCAGGGUCUUUAGUCUUUUUAUUUUUCUUCCUCUUCAGAAAUUUCAAUCCACCAAAAUUGAACAGUGGGGUCUCGGUCUUCUCUUCCUGUCUGACCAUGAGGAUAUCCUUACUACAACUUGAGUAAUCAUUUCCUAUGGAUCCUGAUUCGUAAUCCUCUAAUGGCAGUGAUGAAUGAUGGUGUGGAUCUUGCAUAUCCAAUGUCGUCUUGUCCUUUUCCUUUCUUACCUGGCAUAUAUCUCCAGCUGUUGGUGAGACUAUUUCACUCGGGUGAGUCCUCAGAGAUUUGGAAUAUUUAAGAAAGUCACCCUCCAUAUCUUCCAAGAUUAAUGAACCCUUUUUCUUUAUUAUCAAACCUAUGUCAUCAUGUGGUACUACAAUGCUUUCUAAGACUUCCUUAUCAUUUUCAACACUAGUCUCUUUUAAAGGACUUGAUUGAUUAUUUGGUUCUUGAAAAAGAUCCUGUGAGCUGAUGAAACCUCCACUAACACUACCAAAGUCUUCGUUUUCCAGUGGCUCGUGAUGUACGCUUUGAUGGAUAUCCUGGACUUGUACUUGGUGUUCACAGGAUGAGAUGUUCUCAAAGCAGAGUGCAUCUUCCUUUCCUUCUUUGUCCGUAGGGUUGUCCUGCAAAAUCUGGGUUUCGUUUCCAAGUGGCUCAUGAUGUACGCCUUGAUGGAUAUCCUGGACUUGUACUUGGUGUUCACAGGAUGAGAUGUUCUCCAAGCAGGGUGCAUCUUCCUUUCCUUCUUUGUCCGUAGGAUUGUCCUGCAAAAUCUGGGUUUCGUUUCCAAGUGGCUCAUGAUGUACGCCUUGAUGGAUAUCCUGGACUUGUACUUGGUGUUCACAGGAUGAGAUGUUCUCCAAGCAGGGUGCAUCUUCCCUUCCUUCUCUGUCCAUAGGGUUGUCCUGCAAAAUCUGGGUUUCGUCUUCAUCCUGGUCUACCAAAUUUGGCCGCUGCGUCUCCUCGUCUGACGUUUCAUCAAUUGGUUCCAUCCAGUUCCAUUCGGCAGAUUUCCUGCUUUUCUCACCGUUCUCCGUGGACCGAGACACUUCUAUAUUAAGUGAGCUGCUCUCAUUAUAUACAUCUGCAUCAUCUUGAGGCGCCAUCAGGUCUUCAGCAACUUUCCUGGUUUGAGAACACGUCUCCUGCUCCUCUUGACAUUUGUUGCUUUUCUUAGUGCACGUUUCUGGAGCCUGUCUCGUUUUCCAUUUCAGGGAUGGUAGCCAUGUUUGUUGGUUUCUUUUAUGUGUGUUCUCAAUAAAGCAAUCUUUAUCCUAAAACAAAAUCAGACAUAUUGAUUAACAAUAAUAAAAUGUCUGUUUGAUGGCUUGAGAGAAAACUAAAGAAUAACUAGAAAAGAAUGAAACAAUCAAUCAUGACGUUUCUGAAAAGUCAAAUGCUAAAACGACGAUGCAGAAUUACAAAUUUUGACUUCAAAACGGCAUUCAAAUGGAUCCUUGUUACUUGACGAACCUGCCACCCCUGAAGUCACAGAUACAAUGCAGUAAACAGUUUUUUUUUUAAACUUUCAGUCCCUCAAAGAAACCUUGAAAUGGUUCUAAAUGGCAGACAUUUUCACUGUUAAUCUGUUGCUGCUCAAAAAAGUGUUGCACUUACCAUUUAAGUUAUUUGUGAAGUGAUACAUUUGACAAAUUUUUGAACUUUUUCAGUCGAAAAAUUUGGUGUAUCCCUAAAUCACUAAUGCUUAAACUAAUGAGCAUUUGGUAGGAAACGGGGUGGGGCCAGCAAGGGUGUCAGUUAAAACUGCAACUGUCAGUAAUUCCAAAUUCAUAUGUUGAUUGGCUAAUUUGUGGUUUUAUUAGAUUUAUUUGCUCAUUUGCUGUUUUAUUAUUUUUUAAUUAUUAUUCAGGGUUUUUGUCCUAUUCAGUUUUUUGUUGCAUGGCAAAAAGUGAAAACAUCACAACUGUCAAAAUAUAACUGCAAAAUAUACCACUUUUUUAACGUCCUCAUCAUCAUCAUCAUCUUCUGUUUGCAUACUGCUUUCCUUCCGUCUGUAAAUUAAAUCCGAAAAAAGUCAAUAAAAGGACAGACGAAUAAAAUAGAUUAAUAUUGUGUAUUAAUAUGUUCACUCACCUCUUGACUGAAAUGAAAACAGCAAGAGUUUUCUGACAUGGAUUCAAUGUUUAUAACAUUCCUACCACAGCACUACUGUACUCGCAAUUCAGUUUUUUUGCAAGGUGUUGAUUCAUUUCAGCAGCUCCGAUUGUCUUUUCGGCUGCAAUUCCGACGACAGGUUUAUUUUAAUUUGCUCGUUCUAAUACGUUAUGAUAACAAAUGACACCAGGACUUGUAUGCUCGGACGCUCCACAUAAUUGUAACUGUUGAUAAAAUUUCUGUUAGAUGUCGAUUCAUUCAUUUAUUUAUGGAAGGAGUCACCGGUGGCAGCACUCUGUUUUCCACCACAGGAAAGUCUUCAGGACAGAAAAGAUCCUAGUUCCUCAGGAACAUGACAAAAUGAUCAACUUCAAGAAAGGUUGGUGAGGGGACUCAUGGACCUUCAAGAAUGUCAACCCUAACUAUAACUGGUUAAUAAGUACAUAAUUUAUUAGUAUACUGAGUAUAAUGUAAUCUUCGUUAUAGGAAAAUGAUCAACUUCACGGUCCUAACAGUAAGUCCUGCUUACUAAGGCUGCUCCACACCACUACAUUGUAGAUCUUUUUCCUCCAACAGCAUGGCCAAUGUCAAAUUACACGCUUCAACAGAAACAAAUAUAAAACCUACACAAUACUGUAUUCAUGUUUUGUAUAAUACAAUGGUAAACUCACUCAGAAAGCAAUAAAGAUGGACUCAGCUCUCCUCUUCUUUUGUCUCCAUGACCUUUGCUCAGCUUCAAUAUGCAUUUAAAGAACCCACCAACCUCUGAAUUCUGAUAGACGGAAAUAAAAUUAUAAAACGAUUACCUUCACCUUAUAUAGCUGGAACGAAAUGUAAUUUAUCUAAAAUUGAAGAAGAAGAAAAAAAGUUUCCAGACAUUUCCAUUUUCUGAGAAUGCACUUAAAUUGUUGCCAUUCCUUUAACAUUCGGCUGAUAGAUACAGUGCACUCCAUUAAUAUUGGCACCCUUGGUAUAUAUGAGCAAAGACGGCUGUGGUUGUGAUCUUUUGUUAAAAAAAAAAAAAAAAAAAAUUUCACAUAAAAAUACUCUGCUCUCAUGGAUAUCAAACAAUUGCACAAAAUAAGUUUAUCAAAAAAAUAACUUCUAUACAAUAUUUAUUUUUUUUUUAAUUAGAAUAUGUUAUAUACAAAAUAUACAAUGUGCAACAAUUAUUGGCACCACUAUGAGUUCAUGAGAAAAUAUAUUUUAAGUAUAUUCCCAUUGAUAUUUGAAAAAAAAAAAUUGUACAACAAAAUUUUUUUGGAUAAACCCGUGUCGUGUUUGCAAUCGUUUGAUAUCCAUGAGAGCAGAGUAUUUUUGUGAAUUUUUUAAACAAAAGAUCAAAAGUUUCAACAAUAAAGACAAUUUUUCACAGCCUUCUUUGCUCAUAUUUACCAAAGGUGCCAAUAUUAGUGGAGGGCACUCUAUAAGUCUAAAUUAGAUUAAUUAUUAAUUUAAAGUCUUAUUUAUAGAACAAUUUAAAUGAUAAUAGUGUACCAUGGUUUGGGAGGGGGAUGUAAGGCGGUUACAAUAUUCUAA
ensembl:lncRNA